UUUUUUUAUAUUGGUUUUUUGUCCUGAAAGGUUCCUACUGACAUUUUGGGAAAAAAAAUUGAGACUAGAGGAGAAGAAAAUUGAUUUAUUUUUAAGAAAAAAUUUGGAGCACAGGUUUAUUCCACUGCAGACAUGAACAAAAGACCAAAACACUGACACUGGUUUUAGAGGAUGGCAGUGCAGGUAGCCAUGGCAACAGAGAACUCUGUGUACUCCCUCCCAGGUAUUUCCUGAAUUUGAUAGGUGAUGUCAACAUGCACCAAGUUACUGCUGCCAUACGCACAUUUUGUCAGUACCAAAGAUAGUGAGAGGAGUAAUGACUCAGCAACAGCCCCCUGAGCAGCCCAGGUGUACUAAAAUCAAAGUAUUUUCUUCUUCCAGGAUUCACAGUCAGCUGUGCUGACUCUCCUGUGCACUCCAAUGUUCAGGCAGAGAGUAAUCUGCCCUACCUUUAUUGAAGGCAAUAGUUCAACCAUGAAUGCCAGUAUA
rnacentral:lncRNA from 12 species